rnacentral:rRNA from 1 species
AUUGAACGCUAGCGGGAUGCUUUACACAUGCAAGUCGAACGAGUGGCGUACGGGUGAGUAAUAUAUCGGCACGUGCCCAGUAGCGGGGGAUAACUACUCGAAAGAGUGGCUAAUCCCGCCUACUCUUGUCUCGGCCGCUCUGGGAUUAGCUAGUUGUUGGGGUAACGGCUCACCAAGGCAACGAUCCGUAGCUGGGUUGAGAGGACGACCAGCCACAAUGGGACUGAGACACGGCCCAGACUCCUACGGGAGGCAGCAGUGGGGAAUUUUGGACAAUGGGGGAAACCCUGAUCCAGCCAUCCCGCGUGUAUGAGAAGGCCUGCGGGUUGUAAAGUACUUUUGGCAGAGAAGCGGUAUCUGCAGAAUAAGCACCGGCUAACUACGGGCCAGCAGCCGCGGUAAUAC